GCAGCCGUGGCCCACUGGUUAGCACUCUGGACUUGUAACCGGAGGGUUGCCGGUUCGAGCCCCGUGGGCCGCG
rnacentral:tRNA from 1 species